AAUCUACACUGGAUUGGAUUUCUCACUUCGAUCAACGACAUCAGUGAUUGAUUAGUAUGUCUGAGCCAUUGACUUCACAUGUCUACGCCCCUCCCCUCAGCUGGUCAUAAAGUUGACUUCAGCGCCCCUUCCUCAUGACAUGUUGAGCUGGUUGAGCAAGGCUUAUUAAACUCAUUUAAAGACUGGUCUGAAUAAUUUCAGACAAUGUUUCAUAGUCGUUACAGACAUCCUGGAUACGUUUUACCAGCGUUACAUCAUUAGAAGAGAGAGAGACGGAGCUACACCACCACCAGCGUCAAUGCAGGAGCCUCCAAAGUUUGUGGUCAAUAUCGUUAAACCAAAGAAAUCUCUGCACAAGACCAGCAAGUUCCACCCUCCUCUCCCGUGACCACGCCUGCUCCUGAUGAUUUAUUGACAGAUGAACCUCAGACCAGAGCAGACCUCUUACAAUAUUACUGUCACCUGACCCUGGACCCCAACACGUUGUACAGAGAGAUGGUUCUGUCUGAGGGGGACAGAAAGGCGGUGCUCACAGAUUUGGUCCAGGAGUAUCCUGAACACCCGGACAGAUUCUCUCACCUCUAUCAGGUGCUGUGUAGGGAGGGUCUGUCUGGACGGUGUUACUGGGAGGUGGAGUUUCAGGGGUCUGUUGAAAUAGCAGUGGCCUACAGAGACCUAGGCAGAUCGGACUAUUAUUCAGAAUGUGCGUUUGGCUGCAACGACAAAUCCUGGAGUUUAGACAUAAACGGGAAUGAUAAAUGUUUCAGACACAAUGAUGAGGAGAAAGCAGUGCCAGAGCCUCAGUCCUCCAGAGUUGGCGUGUUCCUCGAUCACAAGGCUGGGAAUUUGACCUUCUAUUGUGUCUGUGAGUCAACGCUGCAGCUGCUGCACAGAGAAGAAACCACGUUCACAAAGCCGCUCUACCCCGGACUGUGGCUCAUAGACACCGCCCAGCUGUGUGAUCGGGAGUAGAAGUACAACCGAAAAGUGUCUCGUGGUGGACUGAGGAGGGACAUUGUGCCCUCAUGUUUGAAAAAGUGCUCUCUUGUAUGCUGGAUGAUAACGUGUCCUCUACGGUGGCCCAGUGUAGAAUAAAUUGUAUUAAAUAGGACCAAAGUGUCAGUGGCCUGCACCCCUAAAAUGUCUCUCAAAGAGACUUGUACCAAUUGAAAGAGUAUUAAAUGCAUUAUCCAGUGUUCUUAUCAGGGUAUGUUUACAUGAAUAAACACAUCACUUGGAUAUAUGAAAAACACUCUUUGGCAAAUUCCACCUCCAGAACCAAAAAGAGUGAUGUACAUAGCACCUUAUUUGUUUUUUUAGCCACAACUGAGUGAGAACAUGUGGGACCAUGUUCAGUUUUUCAAAUAUCUUUUUAUAUAAUGAAAAGAAAACAUGAACAUAUAAAUGGUACACACACAACAAUUACAAAUAAUUUAUAUGGAGUUUAUUACAACAUAAUUCGAUUCAGAUUUCCUGUAAAAGUAUCUGAAGAAAUACAUCCCUUCAUUUGUAUUUUUGGCACUUAUUUUCAAAGUAGCAGAGUGGUGAAUUAACAGACAUUGUUUUUUAAUGAGACAAUGGCACUAAGUGUUAAAUGUCUUGGA